AAGGAAGGACAGAAAUCGAUAAGUACUGCUAAUUCUUAUGCACUGGGGUUAAAAUCCCCGGCUUCCUCG
rnacentral:tRNA from 1 species